GACAUACUACAAUUCUAGCCUUAUGAUAUAUUACAAAAAAAAGUUGAGUCCUCGACGAGUCAUCGCGAGUGCAAAUGCACGAGUCCGAGUCCAAGUUCGAGUCAACAG